AAACAGAAAAUGUCUCAAAUCAAUAACCUAAGUAAUUCAAGUAACUAGAAGAAAAAAGAGCAAAGGAAGGAAAUCAUAAAGAUAAAAGCAGAAAUUAAUGAUUUUUUAAAAAAAAUGAAAAGGUAACCAGCAGCUUAACUCCAUAAUGCAUUUUAAAACUUUUUUUCCAUUUUAGUCUCAAGAUGUAAUCUUGAAGCAAACUGCAACAGCCUUUUCCCUUAACCUUAAAAUAGACUGCAUGUUCCUUCCUUUCCCACUGUGUACUCCCUUCACAUUCAUCUAAUUAUGCCAGUAUCUAAGUAUGUGCUUACUUAGGAGUUCAAGGGCUAACCUUGAGACAGAUAGACCGAGCCUAGAGACCGAGCAGAAUUCCAGAGAUUACCUCAAGGCAGCUAGUCACCAACCCAGCCAUUGUUCAGAUGAUGUCAGCCCACACUCCAGGUAGACAGAGAUCCAAGAUAGCCAGUGAAAAAGGACACACACACCUUGCACUCAACACAACUGCAUGUGUCCCAUACGAAGUUUCUCUUUAUAAACCCUAGCCUUCUCCCUACAAGUUCAAUGUGAUUCCUUUGGAUAUGAAUCCAGCCACUUCCCUACUGCUAGUUUUUGUUAAUGAAGUCACUUUCCUUUUACCAGACCUCACUCAUUCUUAAGACUUCGCAAGCAGCAAACAGCUGGACCUGCAUUCAUUUACAAAAAUAGAAAAAAAUGAAUGAGGCAAAACACUGUCUGUUUGAAAGAAAAUCAGUAAAAUGCAUAAACCUCUAGUAACACUGGCCAAAAAAAAAGACACAUAAAAAUUAGAAAUGAAAAAAAGGAAAUCACUAUGAAUCCUUUGGCCAUUAGAAGAAAAAUAAAGGAUAUGAUGUAUAACUUUAAACUCACACAGUCAACAACUGAAAAGAAAAGAAAAAAGUCCUUGAAAACCUAAAACUACCAAACCUCAAUCAAGAUAAAACAGACAAUCUGGGCAGUUCUGUAAUCUUCAAAGAAAUUGAAUUUGUAAAUAAAAGUUUCCACAAAAAGAGAUCUCCAAGUCUGGAUAGUUGUAUUGAAGAUUUCUACCAUAAAUUUAAAGAAGAAUUAACACCAAUUUUACACAUUCUCCUACAGAAAUAGAAGAAGCAAAACACUUCCCUACUAAUUUUAUGAGGUCAGUAUUACCCUUAUAACAAGCCUACAAAAGACAAUACAAUGAUUUAUAUCACUCAUCAAUUUAGAAGCAGAUAUUCUCAACAAAAUAUUAACAAAUUGAAUCCAGCAAUGUAUACAAAGAAUUCUACACCAUAACCAGGUGGGGUUUAUUCCAGGUAUGUAAGGCUGGUUCAACAUUUGAAAUCAAUCAAUGUAAUCCAUCAUAAGUUAAAUUUAAAACUUUGCGUGAUCUUAACAAUUGACACACAAAAAAAGCAUUUACCAAGAUCUGUGAUAAAAAUAAAAAAGAAGGGAACUUUCUUGGCUUAAUAAAGAGCAUCUACAAAAAACCUUCAGCUAAUAUACUUAGCAUUAAAGGAAUGCUUGCUUUUCCUUUAAGAUUGGGAACAAAGCAAUAAUAUCCACUGUUAUGACUCUAUUCAUCAUACUACUGGAGGAAGUUUUAGCCACUGCAAUAAAACAAGGAAAAUAAAUAACAUAUACAGAUCAAAAAGGAAGAAAUAAAACCGGACCUGCUUGUAGGUAGCAUGAUUGUCUACAUAGAUAUAGAUCUAUGUAGACCAAAAAAAAAAAAAAAUAGAAUCCUAGAACUAAUAAGCAUGAGGGCUUUCUUAAACUCAGAUCAAUGCAUAAAAAUCAACUUUAUUUCUGUAUACCGACAAUGAAUAUGUAGAAACUAAAAUUAAACAUAACAGUUUACAAUUGUUCCAAAGAAAAUGAAAUAGGGAUAAGUCUAACAAAUUGUAUACAGAAUCUGUAUGCUGAAAACUUUGAAAUGCCGAUGAAAUGAAUUUUUUAAAGUCCUAAGUAAAUAGGGAAACAUACUGUAUUUAUGAGUUGGAUGACUCAACAUAGAAAAGUUGUCCAUUCUUCCCAAAUUGAUCUACAGAUAUAAUCCAAUUCCUACAAAAAUCCCAGCAAGGGAUUUUGUAGACAUAGAACACCUUAUCCCAAAAUGUAUCUGGAAAGCACCAGGCCCUAGAAUAGCUAAAAAAAAAAAAAAAAAAAAAAAAAAAAAAAAAAAAUCUGUACUAAGAACAGAAUGGGAGGAAUUAUUCUACGUGGUAUUAGAUUUGCUAUGUAAUCAUAGCAAUCAAGACACUGUGGCAUUGAAAAUGCAAUAGACAUAUUGAUAAAUGGAACAAAACAGAGAACCCAGAAAUAGACCUACACAAAUAUGCCCAACUGAGUUUUUUAUAAAGAUACAAAAGCAAUUCAAUGGAAGAAGGAAAAUCUUUUCAACAAACAGUGCUGGAGGAAUUUAACAUCGAUAGGCACAAUAAUGAACACAACCUAAGUCUCACAGCUCAUAAAAAAUUAAUCAAAAUAGAUACAAACAUAAAUGUGAGACAUAAACUUUAAAACUUUUAGAAAAAAAUAGAAAGAAUCUUCAGGAUCUAAGAUUUCUUAAACUUUACACCAAAAGCAUGAUCCAUAAAAGGAAAAACUAAUAAAUUUAACGUUAUCAAAAUUAAAAAAUUUUACUUAGUGAAAGAUCCCAUUAAAAGAAUGAAAAGACAAGCUAUAGACUGGGGAAAAUGUUUGCAAAUGCCACUACCAAUGAAGAAUUAGUAUCUAGAAUUAAGAAAAAAAAACUCUUAAAAUUUAAUAGUAAAAAAAUCCGGUAACAUGAGCAAAAGACAUGCACAGAAAUUUCGCUGAAGAGGAGAUACAGCUGUGGA
rnacentral:lncRNA from 10 species